GACGAACGCUGGCGGCGUGCUUAACACAUGCAAGUCGAACGGAAAGGCCUGCUUUCCCUUGUGGAUUGCGGGUACUCGAGUGGCGAACGGGUGAGUAACACGUGAGUGAUCUGCCCCCAACUUGGGUAUAAGCCUGGGAAACUGGGUCUAAUUCCCGAUAGGACUGCAGGGUGGUGCCUGUGGUGGAAAACGAUUUUCUAGUGGUUGGGGAUGAGCUCGCGGCCUAUCAGCUUGUUGGUGGGGUAAUGGCCUACCAAGGCGGCGACGGGUAGCCGGCCUGAGAGGGUUGACGGCCACAUUGGGACUGAGAUACGGCCCAGACUCCUACGGGAGGCAGCAGUGGGGAAUAUUGCACAAUGGGCGGAAGCCUGAUGCAGCGACGCCGCGUGGGGGAUGACGGCCUUCGGGUUGUAAACUCCUUUCGACCGCGAGGAAGCCACCUGGUUGGAAGGGUGGUGACGGUAGUGGUAGAAGAAGCACCGGCUAACUACGUG
rnacentral:rRNA from 1 species